GACGAACGCUGGCGGCGUGCCUAAUACAUGCAAGUAGAACGCACAGUUUAUACCGUAGCUUGCUACACCAUAGACUGUGAGUUGCGAACGGGUGAGUAACGCGUAGGUAACCUGCCUGGUAGCGGGGGAUAACUAUUGGAAACGAUAGCUAAUACCGCAUAAUAUUGAUUAUUGCAUGAUAAUUGAUUGAAAGAUGCUAUUGCAUCACUACCAGAUGGACCUGCGUUGUACUAGCUAGUAGGUGAGGUAACGGCUCACCUAGGCGACAAUACAUAGCCGACCUGAGAGGGUGAUCGGCCACACUGGGACUGAGACACGGCCCAGACUCCUACGGGAGGCAGCAGUAGGGAAUCUUCGGCAAUGGACGAAAGUCUGACCGAGCAACGCCGCGUGAGUGAAGAAGGUUUUCGGAUCGUAAAGCUCUGUUGUAAGUGAAGAACGGGUGUGAGAGUGGAAAGUUCACACUGUGACGGUAUCUUACCAGAAAGGGACGGCUAACUACGUG
rnacentral:rRNA from 1 species